UUUGUUGCUAAAGCCAGGUAGGCUAUCAGUCACUCAAGAACACACCAACAAGAAAAACCCAACACAAGACAGAAAAUCCACCUCAUGGGACCUCAAAGCCUGGAUGAGGCCAAAUUAAAAGCCCUUUUCUGCUGAGUCUCACUUUUGAGAUAAUUAUGCAUUGAUAUGAAGAGCAUUUCCCUCCUCGCCUGUAAGUUCUGAGGGAAUGCAUACAAUAGCAUAUUUGGCUGUAAUCAUAGCAGCACCCCACCAUGAAUUGAACCUGGGGGAGCGCUACAGCACAAAGCUAAUCUGUGGCACAGCAAAAAGGCCCUUGGGAGCACCUCAAAAUGGAAACUAGUAUUAAAACCAGGGUUUCUUUAUGUGUCAGGUAUUUACUCAUUUUAUGAACCCUGACAACUGAACUCUAGCCCUUGGUUACAUGCCUUUAGACAAGCAUAGAGGGUGCAAAUUCGGUAUAAAAUACAUCACUGUCAACAGAACAAGCCCAUUAAAGUUAGCUCUGGGUUGCAGCUUCAGCAAUGCCUUGUGUUCGGCUUGUAUUAAUAAGAGGUUACACAUCUGCACAUCUCCGGUGAUUGGCAACCCUUCACCACCUCCAGCGCACUCUCAGAGAAUACCACCGAAGCACUAUAGGGUGCCCCACCACCCACAACCCCUCUCCUGGAUUCAACUUGUUCUUGAGGCUGACAGGGGGGACCCGAGCUCUCCUGCCCACGGGGAAUCUACAUGGAGUGACCCAUAUCCAAGGAAAAAACGUUCAUUUUUCUGCUGGAAUAUUAGGAGAAUAGAAGGUUUCCUGAAAAACUACGGUUGUGCUUUCAGUGAAAAAACACUGUAACUCAAUAGUAUCCAGCGGGAAUCCAAACGCAUUUCGAGGCUGCGUCGGUCUCCGGAAUUCAUUGCGAGCGCUGUCCACGAAAAAGUGGUGCUGAAAACUCCUCAAGUCCCAACUUCAGGCUUUGUUCGAGUGAGGGGGAAAAGGCAGGUCCGGUGGAGCUACUCCCCAACGCUUUUCCAGCGAAAAGGGCAUCCGAUUUUUUCAACAGGAUGAAACAGGAGAGGAGCGCAUAUCCGACACCCCAGGCGAGAGCAUGCACUCUCCAACUGAUAGACUGAAGACUGUGUGCGCUCCGUGCACUGGAUGUGAUUGAUGUUAAAUGCAACCCCAACCUACCGCCUUCAUCAGGGGAGGAAACACAGCAUCGCUGAAUGGGAGAAACGUUUGAAUGACAAACUGCAGCAUAUCAACAGCACUUUGCCGACGUUUUAAUCAGUAGCUGACAUGCAAAAAUAUUAAUUUUGACAUUGAGUUCAGCACCUCGUUUCUUCUCCAUGAGCGCUGCUGGACCUCACUGUGAGGGCUUGCAUCUGCCAGUGUCUAUAGAUCAGUUGAAACCAUGUAAACUAUUUGCAAAAGUGUAGCUACAUGACAUCUCACGUGAUCACGUUGAAGCAAAAUGCAUCCAAACUCAUAAUUAACACGCUGCAUAGGAUAAACUGUAAUGAAUUCAAUUUUUAAGCUCCUAAUGAAACAGGACUAGUUUUAUUGUUUCCACUAUGACAGUUGUGGCUCGUCGCGCACGUUACAGGUGUUGCCGCAGCCUAUGCAGUAGUGUCGAGUCUCAAAGCGGUUGGGAUGCUGUGCGUAAACCAUGACGAACGUAUCAAGUCCCAUCACUGAGUGCGAAAACUCAAUCUGGACACUAGUAGGUUUGUGUUUUGUAAGUGUGCGUGUGGGAUGCCACACUCUACAGCCUGCUUGUGAAAUUAUGUCCGACGGCAUGCCUCUGUGUGUCCAAUAUUAUUCUGGGGAAAACAGAAGAAAAAAAGAUAAAUUACUUUUUGAUCAAGCGUGGCUAAAAACUACUUAAUGUUAUUACCUGAUUGCAGUUACAGUAUGUCGUAGUUUGGUGGACAAAAGCAAAAACAAAAGACGUUCUUGUCUUUUUUUUUCUUAAAUAUUGGCUUCUAUACAGGACUGUUUCAAGCUUGCAUGACGUUAUUUGAUGGCCCACUACCUGCAAAGCAUUCCACCACGGUUCUUAAGAAAACUUAGGAUAUUUAGUCCUUUAAGUGGGACAAAAUAUUUGAAUAUCUGAAAAUAUUGCUGUUUGUGUACCAAACAUGAUGUGUGAUUACCUAGAAAAAAAUGUAGAGGGUAAUCAUAGGUAAUCAUGGCUAUAAGGUUUACUUGAAGUUUUGUGGAAAAUAUAAAAAUCUCGCCUGUCUCAAGAGAACUUAUAUUUCACACAGAUACUGGAGUACUUCAAAUAAACAAACAAAAAAGACCAGUGAGCUCCAGCUCCAUUCUUCAAUGUUGAACCACUUUGUUAAGCAUUGUUUCAGAAUCCUGAUUUGGGGGAAGUUUAAUGUUUUGUUCACAGAAAAAUGGGGGAAAAAAGGCUAUCAGAAAAAUUAAGAAAUACUUGAUUUAAUAGGGAUGCAUGAUAUAUUGGCACCAACAUUGGUAUCAGCUGAUAUUAGGAAUUUUUUAACAUAUCGAUAUCGGUCUAAUAAAUAAAACUGGGCUGAUAUGAACAACCAAUAUUUAUUUUUAUCUGUUUCUGAUGGGUUUUUCUGCCAAAGGUGCCAAAACCGCAGUGAAAUAUAUAUAAUAUCGGUAAAUAUUGAUUAUUGGCCAUAACAGUAAUAUUAAUAUUGGAUAUUGAUUUCAGGCCAAACGUUGUAUUGGUGCAUCCCUAAGGAUUUACAUAGCACUUAUAAAUGCAGUUCUCAUUGGUCAAAGUGUUGAGCAUCAUAUCCAGAACAAAUAAACAAGAACAAAAACUGAAAAAGAAAUAAGCUACAAGAAAAAUUCGAACUAAAGUUGAAAUCAUACACCCACAAGCAGCAUGUAUACCAGGCACAUGAAACAAACACAAUAAUUUAGUGAGAAAUAUGUGUAGGCUUGGAAAGCCAAACUAACAAAACAAAAAUUUUAACACAGACUUAAGGUUGAGGAUGAAAGUAGGUAGAAAAAGGGUCUGACCAACAUGAAGUAACAACUGAAAGACUCUUUUGUGCUUGAGACAUGAUUUAGUCACACGGAGGUCAAGUUUGUUGAUUUGAACACUCUGAUACAAAGUGUUAAAGAUAUUUAAAGGGAGAGUAAUGCAAAAUUAUUCAAUCAACAUGUUUUCCAAAGAGCUUGUUUUGCAGAUUAAAAGCACAUUUAUAAAAAACUAUCUUUAAGCAGACAAUAAACAACAUUUUAAUUACAUUGACAUUUCUGCACUAAGGUUUUCUUCUACUAGUCUGAUGUAAUAUUGUAAUCAUGUGUUUUCAUUAGCUGUAAGAGUAAAAACAUAAUUAAUGGCAAUAAAGGCUUGGAAACAUCUAA